UCUUAGUUUGAGCACCCUCUUGAAUAGGCACGCCACUGCCUAGACCCGGUUAGCUUCUUCUUCAGGUACUUGCAAUGUUAAGGAGAAGAACACCAGUGAGUUUUACAACCAUCUGUGCUUCUCCCUUUUUGUAACACUUCUCCAUUGUACACACAAUGGGCAUCAUUCUUUCUCUUUCAACUCGGAUUUGAUGAUGAACUAGGAACACCUUUUGUGAACCUGAAACAUCACUCAAACUCUAGCAAAG
rnacentral:lncRNA from 1 species